GGCUCCUUGUCUUUUUUAUAUAGGGAGUCGGACCUGCCCGGUGAAAACUUUUAACGGCCGCGGUACUCUGACCGUGCAAAGGUAGCAUAAUCACUUGCCUUAUAAUUGAAGGCUGGUAUGAAUGGUUUGACGAGAGCACUUCUGUCUCUCCUCCACUUUAUAGAAAUUAACAUUCAGGUGAAGAGGCCUGUAUUAAAUUGAAGGACGAGAAGACCCUGUCGAGCUUUAAGGGAAUGAGGAAAAACUUUAUAUUUGAUAAAUGAAAAACCUUUUUUACCUUUUGGUUGGGGCGACUAGGGAACAGACAAAGCUUCCCUUACCUAAAAAACUUUUUGUCAGGAUCCAGCAUUGCUGAUUAAAAGAAUUAGUUACCGCAGGGAUAACAGCAUAAUCCUUCUUGAGAGACCUAAUCGAAAGAAGGGGUUGUGACCUCGAUGUUGGACUAGGAUAUCCUAAGGGUGCAGAAGCCUUUGAGGGUUGGUCUGUUCGACCAUUAAAAUCCUACG
rnacentral:rRNA from 1 species